rnacentral:piRNA from 1 species
UUUGAUUCCUUUUCACAAGGCCUUUAU